UGGAGGUCGCCGAGGCGCCCGAAGAGAAUGUAGAUAUAGCGUUCAGGGCGAUCGGUGGAGGCGUGUCGCUCCUGCCGCCUGGCGCGAAGGCUAGCUCUGAUUAUCAUCCAGCGCGAGCGCUUGCAGUGUCCAAUCACUUCGGCUUGACGUUCUUCGCCGCACCAGCAGGUUUUGGAGUCGUGAGGACGGCGGACGUUCUGGAGCUCUCAAGCGGACCCAAGCCUGCUUCUGUGAGUGAGAAAUGCUUGGCGAGCGUGGAGCUGGAGAAAGUUUCGAUUUUGGAGCUUUCAAAGGAUGAGCUCACGCUUGCUGUGUGUGCCGGCUUCGCUGUUCGAUUCUAUCGAGUCCCUUCUCUGGCACUCAAGGCCGACACUAGACCGUUCGAGAUCCGCGACAUCGGCAACGAUGCGUUGAUCAAGGAUUUUCAG